AUUGAACGCUGGCGGCAGGCCUAAUACAUGCAAGUCGAACGGUAACAUAAGAAAAGCUUGCUUUCUUGAUGACGAGUGGCGGACGGGUGAGUAAGAUUUGGGAAACUACCUGAUAGAGGGGGACAACAGUUGGAAACGACUGCUAAUACCGCAUGACACAUAUUGGGGGCAUCCCUGAUAUGUCAAAGAUUUAUCGCUGAAAGAUGGCCUCGCGUCUGAUUAGCUAGUUGGUGAGGUAAACGGGCCCACCAAGGCGACGAUCAGUAGCCGGACUGAGAGGUUGAAACGGCCACAUUGGGACUGAGAUACGGCCCAGACUCCUACGGGAGGCAGCAGUGGGGAAUAUUGGGCAAUGGGCGCAAGCCUGACCCAGCAACGCCGCGUGAAGGAAGAAGGCUUUCGGGUUGUAAACUUCUUUUGUCAGGGACGAGUAGAAGACGGUACCUGACGAAUAAGCCACGGCUAACUACGUG
rnacentral:rRNA from 1 species